rnacentral:rRNA from 1 species
AAGUAAAAGUCGUAACAAGGUCUCCGUAGGUGAACCUGCGGAGGGAUCAUUACACAAAUAUGAAGGCGGGCUGGAACCUCUCGGGGUUACAGCCUUGCUGAAUUAUUCACCCUUGUCUUUUGCGUACUUCUUGUUUCCUUGGUGGGUUCGCCCACCACUAGGACAAACAUAAACCUUUUGUAAUUGCAAUCAGCGUCAGUAACAAAUUAAUAAUUACAACUUUCAACAACGGAUCUCUUGGUUCUGGCAUCGAUGAAGAACGCAGCGAAAUGCGAUAAGUAGUGUGAAUUGCAGAAUUCAGUGAAUCAUCGAAUCUUUGAACGCACAUUGCGCCCUUUGGUAUUCCAAAGGGCAUGCCUGUUCGAGCGUCAUUUGUACCCUCAAGCUUUGCUUGGUGUUGGGCGUCUUGUCUCUAGCUUUGCUGGAGACUCGCCUUAAAGUAAUUGGCAGCCGGCCUACUGGUUUCGGAGCGCAGCACAAGUCGCACUCUCUAUCAGCAAAGGUCUAGCAUCCAUUAAGCCUUUUUUUCAACUUUUGACCUCGGAUCAGGUAGGGAUACCCGCUGAACUUAAGCAUA